rnacentral:rRNA from 1 species
GACGAACGCUGGCGGCGUGCCUAAUACAUGCAAGUCGAACGAGAGCGACCGGUGCUUGCACUGGUCAAUCUAGUGGCGAACGGGUGAGUAACACGUGGGUAACCUGCUCAUCAGAGGGGGAUAACAUCCGGAAACGGAUGCUAAAACCGCAUAGGUCUUCGAGCCGCAUGGCUUGAAGAGGAAAAGAGGCGCAAGCUUCUGCUGAUGGAUGGACCCGCGGUGCAUUAGCUAGUUGGUGAGGUAACGGCUCACCAAGGCCGUGAUGCAUAGCCGACCUGAGAGGGUGAUCGGCCACAUUGGGACUGAGACACGGCCCAAACUCCUACGGGAGGCAGCAGUAGGGAAUCUUCCGUAAUGGACGCAAGUCUGACGGAGCAACGCCACGUGAGUGAAGAAGGUUUUCGGAUCGUAAAACUCUGUUGUUAGAGAAGAACAAGUGCUAGAGUAACUGUUAGCGCCUUGACGGUAUCUAACCAGAAAGCCACGGCUAACUACGUG